rnacentral:rRNA from 1 species
GAUGAACGCUGGCGGCGUGCCUAAUACAUGCAAGUCGAGCGAACAGACGAGGAGCUUGCUCCUCUGACGUUAGCGGCGGACGGGUGAGUAACACGUGGAUAACCUACCUAUAAGACUGGGAUAACUUCGGGAAACCGGAGCUAAUACCGGAUAAUAUAUUGAACCGCAUGGUUCAAUAGUGAAAGACGGUUUUGCUGUCACUUAUAGAUGGAUCCGCGCCGCAUUAGCUAGUUGGUAAGGUAACGGCUUACCAAGGCAACGAUGCGUAGCCGACCUGAGAGGGUGAUCCGCCACACUGGAACUGAGACACGGUCCAGACUCCUACGGGAGGCAGCAGUAGGGAAUCUUCCGCAAUGGGCGAAAGCCUGACGGAGCAACGCCGCGUGAGUGAUGAAGGUCUUCGGAUCCUAAAACUCUGUUAUUAGGGAAGAACAAAUGUGUAAGUAACUAUGCACGUCUUGACGGUACCUAAUCAGAAAGCCACGGCUAACUACGUG